rfam:Parastrongyloides trichosuri strain KNP genome assembly, scaffold: PTRK_scaffold0000008
GUUGGGUAUGGAGAUUUGGUACCGACGGGAACAUAUGGAAAAUUAGUGGGAUCUCUAUGUGCUUUAUUGGGUGUUUUAACAUUAGCUUUACCUGUACCUAUUAUUGUAGCUAAU